UUUUGGCUUUUGGCUGUUUGCCUAGCAUUUGCGCUUGGUGGGCGGCUAUUAGCUGGGUGGUUUCGGGGAUGUCUACCGUAAAGGUGCAUGAGUGGUGUUUGGUUUGUUACGGGUGGUUGGCUCUUUGCUUGCGCAACAACUUCCACCUGGCAUACCUCUUCAGUUUUGCGUCAAUGCUUGUAUCGCAUUGAACGCAAGGUGGGUUUCUUGUGUUGCAUACCAAAAUUGAUGGUAUCGUUUGAUGAAUUGAUGUUCCUUAUUCAUCUUGUGUCGCACAUGCGAUGUGAGACGAACUUUGAAGCAGUCUUUGUGAUCCACUCUUUCGAUGCGCAUGUGUUGAUGGUGUGGCCCAUUAAGUGUUGCUUGGUCUCAUGGAUAUGGAACCUGGUGUGGGCAUGGGAGAGAUCCUUUUUUGCCCUGCUUUAGCUUUUCUAAUACGAUUGACUAUCACGUAUGGCACGUCUCAGCGUGGUAGUCUAUGUCGAAUAUGAAUGCUACCUGGUUGAUCCUGCCAGUAGUCAUAUGCU
rnacentral:misc_RNA from 1 species